GCCUGCGUAGUGUAGUGGUCAGCACGCUCGAUGCGUAACCGUGAGGUCGGUGGUUCGAUUCCCGGCGGAGGCG
rfam:Stegodyphus mimosarum contig31684, whole genome shotgun sequence.